rnacentral:lncRNA from 1 species
AACCAUGACCCAUAGGCUCCUCUGGGUCAAUCAGGGAGGAUAAGGGGCUGCAGAGCAGGGCCAGUGCCCAUGCCUGUCUCCACUGUAUCCCAGUGCAGUGUCAUCCCAGGAAGCCCACAUCUGUAAGCUACUAAGACAACUUGACACUUUACACUCAUAAUGAAGGCUCAAGAACCACACCUGCUCCCUCUCAUCCCUGGAAGAGGAAAGCAUCUGUCAGCAGAAGGCUGGCAACGUCCCUCCAGGCAAGUCCAUGUUCUGGAACUCAAAUGUCUGACCCAAUACUGGCAGAGGAUGUCUACAAGCUGCAGCACCUUCUCUGCUGGCUUGGAAGACGCAAGGAAUGACGGACCAACAGGCUUUGGGGGUGUGCGCUUAAAUUACAGCUCUGCAGGUGGUGACAGUAACUAACUAAAAGGCCCUCUGACUUUGUGUUC